rnacentral:lncRNA from 1 species
GGAAAUGCAAAUUAAAACCACAGUGAGAGACCAUUUCACAUCAAACAGGAUGUCGGUAAUCAAAAUGUUUACAACUGGUGAUCACCCCUACCUUGCUGAAUAAUCCUCCACUGAUGGCCACCGUGAACACGGGAGUCAGACUAUGUCCAUCACAUGGAUCAGAUUCCCCAGGCACCUCGUACAAUUGAGCACUUGAAUUGCAAAUCUCAACUUCUAAUGACAGCUCCUCCUGUCCAAUUUAUUUUAACUCUGAUAUCAACUAUUUCUCCUGUACCCCUUGUCUUAGAAUGCUUACAUUUUCAAUUUUUCAAUAAAAAUGCAUAAUCUUCCCCAGCAAA